UACGGGGGGGGCAAGCGUUGUUCGGAAUUACUGGGCGUAAAGGGCGCGUAGGCGGCCUUCUAAGUCGAACGUGAAAUCCCUGGGCUCAACCCAGGAACUGCGUCCGAUACUGGGAGGCUUGAAUCCGGGAGAGGGAUGUGGAAUUCCAGGUGUAGCGGUGAAAUGCGUAGAUAUCUGGAGGAGCACCGGUGGCGAAGGCGGCAUCCUGGACCGGUAUUGACGCUGAUGCGCGAAAGCCAGGGGAGCAAACGGG
rnacentral:rRNA from 1 species